GGGGCAAUUGCCCCCCUAAAAAAUGUAAAAUCCUUUUAAGUCUAAGGGCUGUUAGGUAAUUUGCCCCUUCAAUAGGUUUAAAUUUGCCAUAAUAUCAGAUUUUUCUCCAGAUUUGCCCUGCCGAACGAACGCAAUACUCACUCAGUCGCUCCGCUGUCAGCUCCGAACGAACGCGAUACUCGCUCCGCUCCGAACGAACGCGAUCGCCAUCUUCAUCUCCGGCUCUUUUGAUUUUUUGUUCUUGAAGCUUGAAUCCGGGGAGACGACUGGAGAGGACUUCAUUUUUCAUCAUUCUAAGUGCUCUGGCUGAGGGUUUAAGAGCACGGUAUAAUAUGAGGGAACCCUACUAAACGAAAGAUUUCGUCUUAAGACUAAGGGGGAAAAAGGGUUAAAUAAUAGAGCAUUAUUUAAAGGGAGAAUGGAUGGAAUGCUUUACUAGCCGAAGUGUCACGUUUUGUGGUGUUUUUGAAGUUGUUGUUCCAAACAUGAAUGAAACAUACAAAACUCGCCAUCAAGUAGUGCGAAGAGGUGAAGAAAUAACAAAUCUACAUCAUUAUCGUGCUGAUUUAUUUUAUACUGUAGUUGACAUGCAACUACAAGAGCUAAAUAAUCGAUUUUCUGAAUCAAGUACUGAGUUACUAUUUUAUGUGUCAUGCUUAAACCCAAGUGAUUCUUUUCAUGCUUAUGAUGAAGGGAAGUUGAUAAGUCUAGCAGAGUUAUAUCCAAGUUAUUUUUCUAUAAUUGAGAUUGUUGCUCUUAAAAGUCAAUUAUCAACUUACAAGAGCUAAAUAAUCGAUUUUCUGAAUCAAAUACUGAGUUACUAUUUUAUGUGU